GGGCAGCCAAUUAAGCCGACCGUGCUUCUCCUCCCAUGGGGCCCGGUGUGCAGUGGCUGCAAACAGCAGCCUCCUCGGUAGUGAGUGCAGCCUGUUGAUCAUAUAGGUUGCUCUAAGGGACCUUGGAGACAGCC